rnacentral:rRNA from 1 species
CAGCAGCCACGGUAAUACGAGGGGGGCAAGCGUUGUUCGGAAUUAUUGGGCGUAAAGGGUGCGUAGGCGGCUUGACAAGUCUUGUGUGAAAUCUAUGGGCUCAACCCAUAGUCUGCACGGGAAACUGUCGGGCUUGAGAAUGGGAGAGGUGAGUGGAAUUUCCGGUGUAGCGGUGAAAUGCGUAGAUAUCGGAAGGAACACCUGUGGCGAAAGCGGCUCACUGGACCAUUUCUGACGCUGAUGCACGAAAGCUAGGGGAGCAAACAGGAUUAGAUACCCGAGUAGUCCCUGUCUCUUAUAC